CAUUGGAGAGCUACACAGACUACAACAUUGGAUGGUGCAACUGUGACGGAGGGAAAUGACUCGUUGAAGUUCUGUGAAAACACUCCAAGUAAAACCCAUGAGUUCCAGCUGAGAGCGUCAUCUAAACAUCUGCCCGGAGGAUUCAGGACCAAGCGUCUCUGCGGAGAAAUGGCCUCCUCAGACCAGAGCAGAUACCCACCCGUCUGCAGACUCACUCCCUCCUCCGUGCACAAACGCACAAACCACAAACACGCACCAGACAGCCGCCGUCUGGCUGCUCGCAGGUUGACUUUGAGGGGUCCCCCCCCCCCUGACUGAUGUAUUG
ensembl:lncRNA